GACAGAGGGUGCAAACGUUGUUCGGAAUUACUGGGCAUAAAGCGCACGUAGGUGGUCCGCUAAGUCGCGUGUGAAAUCCCCCGGCUCAACCGGGGAAAUGCGCGUGAUACUGGCGGGCUUGAGAUCGGGAGGGGUGAAUGGAACUCCAGGUGGAGCGGUGGAAUGCGUAGAUAUCUGGAGGAACACCGGUGGCGAAAGCGGUUCACUGGCCCGACACUGACACUGAGGUGCGAAAGCUAGGGUAGCAAACGGG
rnacentral:rRNA from 1 species